CUUUAUUUCAAAUGUAUGAGAUUGCAGACCCCUCCCUUCUUAGAAGGGGCUGUGAAAUGGAGUAGCAUACAGAAGUAAAAUAGAGAUGUGACCCGGUCUCUGCUGGCAGAGUGUAAGAGGACAUGACAUCCUUUAUAGAUGAGUUUCCUACAAAGCUUUGGACACAGAUGAAUCAACAGACCCAGGGAAUGGACCAUCUUGAAUCCUAGGUAAGCAUGUGAGCUUGUUAACCCAGCAUAGCUCCUUGUGAAGUAUAGUCACUCUGUGAAUAAAUUGCGACUAUGGAGCUGCUGAAGGCCAGAGUGCAUGACUCAUUCACCUGCUGGAGCCUGGUUUGCACCGUUCCCAAGGCCUGACUGAUGAGUGCUGUUAAUGAAGAACUGUCCCAGACUUCUGACCGACAACACAGUCACAAGGAUGGCUCUUCCCUGCCUCAGAGAGGAAAAUGAACAUGACUGGUGGGGACCUUCCAAUGUCUGAAACACAAUGAAUUUAAUUUCUACUGGUCAGCAGGCAAUGGUAAACAGUUUAGCUAAUUAAGUAGGUUGAGAAACUAGAACCACAGCAAAAAUAGAAGACUAAGAUACUUGUUCUGAACAAUAUUGAAAUAUGGUAGCCAUUAUGAAGAGGGCAUCUGUGAGACUCAGCUGAAAU